ACCUGCUUCUCAAUAGAAAAACUUCCAUUCGACACGUGGGACUUCAGGAGAAGGAAAAAAAAAUCACGUGGAUAAAAAAAAUCACAAAAUCCUGACCAUCAUUUCAUGGCUGAAUGACGAGAGAUUUGAAGAAUUUUUGAAGGGGAGAAAAAGCGUCACCGCGGAGACCGAAGACUACCUUUCUCCUCGACCACUGAAAUCACCGUGC
rnacentral:lncRNA from 1 species